AUUGAACGCUGGCGGCAGGCCUAACACAUGCAAGUCGAGCGGAUGAAGGGAGCUUGCUCCUGGAUUCAGCGGCGGACGGGUGAGUAAUGCCUAGGAAUCUGCCUGGUAGUGGGGGAUAACGUCCGGAAACGGGCGCUAAUACCGCAUACGUCCUGAGGGAGAAAGUGGGGGAUCUUCGGACCUCACGCUAUCAGAUGAGCCUAGGUCGGAUUAGCUAGUUGGUGGGGUAAAGGCCUACCAAGUCGACGAUCCGUAACUGGUCUGAGAGGAUGAUCAGUCACACUGGAACUGAGACACGGUCCAGACUCCUACGGGAGGCAGCAGUGGGGAAUAUUGGACAAUGGGCGAAAGCCUGAUCCAGCCAUGCCGCGUGUGUGAAGAAGGUCUUCGGAUUGUAAAGCACUUUAAGUUGGGAGGAAGGGCAGUAAGUUAAUACCUUGCUGUUUUGACGUUACCAACAGAAUAAGCACCGGCUAACUUCGUG
rnacentral:rRNA from 1 species